rnacentral:lncRNA from 1 species
GUUAAAAGGAAAAAUAUUUUUUCUACUCCUAAUUUAAGGAUAAAUAAAAAAAGUAUAUGAUGAUAGAAUGAUAUAUUUAAAAGGGUAAAAUAGUAAUUUUAUAGAAAUUACGGCUAAUCUUAAUAAUUCACUAAUAGAAUCUAAAUUUAGAGGUAUAUUUGAAAGAAUUUGAAACUUUAAAAUAUAUAUUUUUAUAUUAGCUUUUUAAGCAGGAUAAAUAAGAAAGCCUGAAAUUUUGUAAAGACGUAUAAAUAAUUGCCCAUAUAAAGUUUAGUU